rnacentral:ncRNA from 2 species
UUGAGUCUUCAGGAUCAGGUGAUUCUGCAAUCAAUGAGCAGAAAACUCCUGACCGGCGGUAUAGCCCGCGACUCUGGGUAUGUUUAGUGCCCGGACUGAUAUGGUGAAAGUCCAUAGCCGACAGUAAAGUCUGGAUGGGAGAAGACAUUG